rnacentral:rRNA from 1 species
GAUGAACGCUGGCGGUAUGCUUAACACAUGCAAGUCGAACGGUCUCUUCGGAGAUAGUGGCGGACGGGUGAGUAACGCGUGAGAAUCUGGCUCUAGGUCUGGGACAACAGUUGGAAACGACUGCUAAUACCGGAUGUGCCGAAAGGUGAAAGGCUUGCUGCCUAGAGAUGAGCUCGCGUCUGAUUAGCUAGUAGGUGUGGUAAGAGCGCACCUAGGCGACGAUCAGUAGCUGGUCUGAGAGGAUGAUCAGCCACACUGGGACUGAGACACGGCCCAGACUCCUACGGGAGGCAGCAGUGGGGAAUUUUCCGCAAUGGGCGAAAGCCUGACGGAGCAAUACCGCGUGAGGGAGGAAGGCUCUUGGGUUGUAAACCUCUUUUCUCAAGGAAUAAGAAAGUGAAGGUACUUGAGGAAUCAGCAUCGGCUAACUCCGUGCCAGCAGCCGCGGUAAUACGGAGGAUGCAAGCGUUAUCCGGAAUGAUUGGGCGUAAAGCGUCCGCAGGUGGCGAUGUAAGUCUGCUGUUAAAGAGUGAGGCUUAACCUCAUAAGAGCAGUGGAAACUACAUAGCUAGAGUGCGUUCGGGGCAGAAGGAAUUCCUGGUGUAGCGGUGAAAUGCGUAGAGAUCAGGAAGAACACCGGUGGCGAAGGCGUUCUGCUAGGCCGCAACUGGCACUGAGGGACGAAAGCUAGGGGAGCGAAUGGGAUUAGAUACCCCAGUAGUCCUAGCCGUAAACGAUGGAUACUAGGCGUUGCGAGUAUCGACCCUCGCAGUGCCGGAGCCAACGCGUUAAGUAUCCCGCCUGGGGAGUACGCACGCAAGUGUGAAACUCAAAGGAAUUGACGGGGGCCCGCACAAGCGGUGGAGUAUGUGGUUUAAUUCGAUGCAACGCGAAGAACCUUACCAAGACUUGACAUGUCGCGAACCCUGAUGAAAGUUAGGGGUGCCUUCGGGAGCGCGAACACAGGUGGUGCAUGGCUGUCGUCAGCUCGUGUCGUGAGAUGUUGGGUUAAGUCCCGCAACGAGCGCAACCCUCGUUUUUAGUUGCCAGCAUUAAGUUGGGCACUCUAGAGAGACUGCCGGUGACAAACCGGAGGAAGGUGGGGAUGACGUCAAGUCAGCAUGCCCCUUACGUCUUGGGCUACACACGUACUACAAUGCGUCGAACAGAGGGCAGCAAGCUAGCGAUAGCAAGCAAAUCCCGGAAAUCGGCGCUCAGUUCAGAUCGCAGGCUGCAACUCGCCUGCGUGAAGGAGGAAUCGCUAGUAAUUGCAGGUCAGCAUACUGCAGUGAAUUCGUUCCCGGGCCUUGUACACACCGCCCGUCACACCAUGGAAGCUGGUCACGCCCGAAGUCAUUACCCCAACUUUUCGGAGAGGGGGAUGCCUAAGGUAGGACUGGUGACUGGGGUGAA